UACGGGGGGGGCAAGCGUUGUUCGGAAUUACUGGGCGUAAAGGGCUCGUAGGUGGCCAACUAAGUCAGACGUGAAAUCCCUCGGCUUAACCGGGGAACUGCGUCCGAUACUGGUUGGCUUGAAUCCGGGAGAGGGAUGCGGAAUUCCAGGUGUAGCGGUGAAAUGCGUAGAUAUCUGGAGGAACACCGGUGGCGAAGGCGGCAUCCUGGACCGACACUGACACUGAGGAGCGAAAGCCAGGGGAGCAAACGGG
rnacentral:rRNA from 1 species